UUACUCGAUGUUGUAUAAAGUGAACAUCUCUUGUGAUAUGUGUAUUCUAUUCGAAUAUUAGUCGCAUUAAGCUUAUUCAAUUUAUGAGACUUGAUUGCGAUGUUGAUUAUUUAUGAUCUAUAGUUUCUAAACUUUGAAGGCAAAGAGUAUUGUACGUGAGAGUUGUAAGUGAAAUGUUUAAGAAAUCCAACGAACAAAGUAUGAAGAAUAUUAGGGGGGUAAAUACACCAAGAUCGGAUCAGUCAUUACAUUCGAAUAAUAAGAAUAUUUUACUUACGGAAGAAGAGAUACGCGAAUACUUCAAGCU